UUAUUUUGGUCAGUUUCAGAAUGGUUUAGAGACCCAAUUUGGUUCUUCUCCAAUGACGUCUUUUGGCGUUGUAUCUUAUAGUGUUUCCUGUCGUUAUUCGCACCCAUUGUGGUAUCGGCCGGUUUUGCUUCAUCUUUUUGGUCAGUUUUCUUUUGAUAUGGAAAGAUUUGUGUGACGGCAUUUUUUAUAUUGAACGCUAAAUCCAAAAGUAGAUUUUGAAAUUAAA